GACGAACGCUGGCGGCGUGCCUAACACAUGCAAGUCGAGCGAAGUGAGUACUACGGUACGAACUUAGCGGCGGACGGGUGAGUAACGCGCGGACAAUCUACCCUGUAGACUGGGAUAACACCUCGAAAGGGGUGCUAAUACCGGAUAAUGUCGAGAAGCGGCAUCGCUUUUCGAAGAAAGGAGAGAAUCCGCUAUAGGAGGAGUCCGCGUCCCAUUAGCUAGUUGGUGAGGGUAGCGGCCCACCAAGGCGACGAUGGGUAGCCGGCCUGGGAGGGUGAACGGCCACACUGGAACUGAGACACGGGCCAGACUCCUACGGGGGGCAGCAGUGGGGAAUAGUGUGCAAUGGGGGAAAUCCUGACACAGCAACGCCGCGUGAGCGAAGAAGGCCUUCGGGUUGUAAAGCUCAAUAGUAUGGGAAGAUAAUGACGGUACCAUACGAAAGCCCCGGCUAACUACGUGCCAGCCGCCGCCGUAAAAC
rnacentral:rRNA from 1 species